rnacentral:rRNA from 1 species
UACGGGGGGAGCAAGCGUUGUUCGGAUUUACUGGGCGUAAAGGGCGCGUAGGCGGCCACCGCAAGUCGGUUGUGAAAUCUCUGGGCUUAACCCAGAAAGGUCAAUCGAUACUGCGGGGCUAGAGUGCAGAAGGGGCAACUGGAAUUCUCGGUGUAGCGGUGAAAUGCGUAGAUAUCGAGAGGAACACCGGUGGCGAAGGCGGCAUCCUGGACCGGUAUUGACGCUGAGGCGCGAAAGCUAGGGGAGCAAACGGG